rnacentral:rRNA from 1 species
GACGAACGCUGGCGGCGUGCUUAACACAUGCAAGUCGAGCGGUAAGGCCCUUUCGGGGGUACACGAGCGACGAACGGGUGAGUAACACGUGGGUGACCUGCCCUCAGUUCUGGGAUAAGCCUGGGAAACCGGGUCUAAUACUGGAUAUGACCUCAUGACGCAUGUUGUGGGGUGGAAAGCCUUGUGCGACUGAGGAUGGGCCCGCGGCCUAUCAGCUUGUUGGUGGGGUGAUGGCCUACCAAGGCGACGACGGGUAGCCGGCCUGAGAGGGCGACCGGCCACACUGGGACUGAGACACGGCCCAGACUCCUACGGGAGGCAGCAGUGGGGAAUCUUGCGCAAUGGGCGAAAGCCUGACGCAGCGACGCCGCGUGAGGGAUGACGGCCUGGUGU